AUUGAUCUUCAGGGCGGGGUGCAAUUCCCCACCGGCGGUAAAGCCCGCGAGCGAAGAAAACGGAAACGCCGUUUUUAUAGCAUGAUUCGGUGAAACUCCGAAGCCGACAGUAUAGUCUGGAUGGAAGAAGAUACAU
rnacentral:ncRNA from 1 species